GUGCAGCAGGCGAGAAUUUUUCUCAAUGGGGGAAACCCUGAAGGAGCGACGCCGCGUGGAGGAUGAAGGCUUUCGGGUUGUAAACUCCUGUUAUUUGAGAACAAGUGGGACGCAGUAACUACGCGUCCCUUGAUAGUAUCAGAAGAGGAAGAGACGGCUAACUCUGUGCCAGCAGCCGCGGUAAUACAGAGGUCUCAAGCGUUGUUCGGAUUCAUUGGGCGUAAAGGGUGCGUAGGUGGCGCGCUAAGUCAGGUGUGAAAUCUCGGGGCUUAACUCCGAAACUGCAUUUGAUACUGGCGUGCUUGAGGACUGGAGAGGAGACUGGAAUUCAUGGUGUAGCAGUGAAAUGCGUAGAGAUCAUGAGGAAGACCAGUGGCGAAGGCGGGUCUCUGGACAGUUCCUGACACUGAGGCACGAAGGCCAGGGGAGCAAACGGGAUUAGAUACCCCCGUAGU
rnacentral:rRNA from 1 species